UGAUCUUUGUAAAAACAAUGAGUUCUCAUAGAAUUUACAUUGUGUCUGAACUGGGCACUGAUGGCUCCUGACCAGUGCUCAGUGACUGGUUUGCAGGAAGAAACAGCCAGCGUGUUAUAUUGUGCAUUGUGUGCUGCGACUCCAGCUCUCUGAGAAAGACCGAGCUGUCGGAAAUCGAGGACCAAGGUAAUAAUGAAACCACAUGGCCUUCCUGAAACUUCCCCCAUGUGAAAACAUGUGAAUGGAGCAGCUCACAAGAGCUGGAAGAAGCAGGGCAUGCCUUCAGACUGCAUGAAAGAAUGGCAGAAAACCAAACUGAAUAUGAGAAAACCAGCCUGCAGACCAGGGAAGGAUCUUUCCCAUUGCCUCUGUCAAAUAAAGCAUGCAUGUUCCCAAUAAAUCACACCUUAAAAUAAACCACACUCACCAAAGCAAAUGAAAAAACCAAGAGGAAGGGCUAGGAGUGACCCACACAAUCCAGCUCCCACCACACCAGCUGCCAUGCUGAAGAAUCACAAGGACCUCACCUGCACAGCUCUCGCAUGUGGAAGCUGUCCCUGAUGUGACACCAUCAUCCUAAAAGACCCAGUCCUGGAAAUACCACUGCCCACUGGAAAAGUGCAUUUUACUGUUGUUGGUACAAAAUUCAUCUUGGUAGCAAGCAAAUAAAACAAAUUCAGCUGAACGUAUCCAAGUUAGAAGCCACUGUAACUCCUGGCAUUUUUGGAGACUGUGUGGUGAAGCUUACCUUCAGCACAUAGAGACUUUCUAGCACUCCCACAGUCUACUUAUUGCUGCUAUGUGGCUACAGUGGUCAUGAAUCAGCGUGGCUUGUAAGUGUGGCCUGUGUGGUGCACUUCUGGGAGUCAACAAAGGAGAAUGCACAACAGAGUAGAAGGGAGGCUGGUCAACAGCCAGAGUUUGAACAUAUGCUCAGCAGUACACUGAGGCGGUACCAACAGUCACCACACCUUUUCCCCUGAUAGCAUCUGAAAGGGACCAAGAUAAGGACUGGUUUAGUGAGGCACAGCACUCCUGUGUCUAUGCAGGUAUUGGGUUGAUUGAUAGUAUCAAUUUUGUCAGUUAAUUAAUUGCUUGUUAUCAAACUUUGGUUGGAGAAGUAGAACACACAUUUUAGUGUACUAUCCCUUGCCUUUAAAGUCAUAAAGCACUUACAUUUUAUAGCUUGUUUAUUUUUUGCACAUGAUCUCACUUCUUCCAGUUGCUUAAUCCUCUUAUUACAAUAUAUCUCAUUUGGUUUGCACCUUUUCCUGAGUGUCUCCCGUUUACUUGGUAAAAUUAAUGUCUUUUUUCUCCCAACUUUUCUUGUGUUUUGCUUUGAAAGUCUGUUUUACAUGGUACCCCUCCCAUUGUUUACAUGUGUGUGGGAAGAGAAGCCAGACUAAGGGGUGGCUGCUGUCGGACAGGGUAAUAGGAACUAAAUCUUCGCUUAGAUAAACGUCUGGCACAGCUAAUGAGUCUUUUCUCGUGGUUGACACUUCUCGGUGGUUCAGAUAUGGGCUAAACAAGGAAAAUUAAGUGUUUAUGAGGCUUAUGGUGGCAUGAUUAUUGCCUUGAAAUAGAGUCACCAUUCAGGUCAGGUUGUACCAUAUCUGUAAAAUAUGAAAGAUAAAUAAGAAUUUGGAUUACUUUCCUCUUUACAGACUUCAACUUUCCUCCCUUUUCCUCAUUCAGCUAUAGGCUAAUAAAGCCUCUGCUUUCAGUCCCCUUCCAGAAAGACUUCAGAAAAACUAAACAGAUUAGGAAUUGAAAGGGAUCCUCACCUUCUCUGCAGCCCCUUUUUAAGGAGCCAGAAGAGCGUAAAGAUGUGAGGGCUACACCAGCAGUGCAGGGGCAGGACCCAGAAGCCCAUGCCUUUCCAGAAACAGAACUUGUCAUGGGCAGAGGGGCACCUUGCAGGCCUGUGCUGUGCAACAAGGACAUUUUGGGAAUGCAGGCAGAGGGGGGGUCUAGCAGGGAUCAAUGUGGAGUUAUUUUUGUAGCUCUUUGACCAGGGCAGUUGGGGAUGGCUAAGGCACGUCUGCAUAUGAAGUUAUGCUUCUGUGAGGUUUGGGGUGAAUAUACACCAUGUCCUCACGUGGAUAUACCUAUUGCAAGACAGACAACAUAUUUUUCUGGUUACUACUGGUCUGGAACUGGUUUAAACAAAGGCAGAAAGCAAUCCAUUCCUGGAAUUAUUGUCCAUAUGGGGAACUCUGUUUAUAAAGCCAAAGCAAUUUAGCUACAAUGGCAUAAAUAUCUUCCUUAAUUCCAUAAACAGUUUAUUUUGUGUCAGACACCUUCCCUUGCCAUUUUAGCAGGAGCCACAAGGCACACUUCAUCUGGACAGGCACAAAGCCUAGUGGUAAGAUUUUAGGGUUUUGUUGCUAGUAUCAGAUAAUCUUCAAUUAUAAAUUUUAUUCUCAAACUAAGAAUUCAACUCAUUAAAUCACUCUUACAUAAGACAUGCAAAGGAUGGUAAACUAAAAGGUUUUUAACAUCUUUAUUCUGCAUGUACUAAAAAGAAAACAGAUGAAGGUGAUAUGGAACAGCGGUGAGUUCCCCAUGAACUUCCUAUUAGACUCCCUGUCUUCUCAUAUGUGACCGAAAUCUUUUUUUAAUAAACUUGUUAUUAUAGUUCUGAGUCUCUGCCAAGUGUUUACAGUGUUGCCCUGAGUAACAAGUCUG